rnacentral:rRNA from 1 species
UACGUAGGGUGCAAGCGUUGUCCGGAAUUAUUGGGCGUAAAGAGCUCGUAGGCGGCUUGUUGCGUCGUCCGUGAAAACCUGUGGCUCAACUACAGGCUUGCGGUCGAUACGGGCGGGCUGGAGUUCGGUAGGGGAGACUGGAAUUCCUGGUGUAGCGGUGAAAUGCGCAGAUAUCAGAAGGAACACCGGUGGCGAAGGCGGGUCUCUGGGCCGAUACUGACGCUGAGGAGCGAAAGCGUGGGGAGCGAACAGG